rnacentral:misc_RNA from 1 species
GAUGAAGAACGUAGCGAAAUGCGAUAAGUAGUGUGAAUUGCAGAAUUCAGUGAAUCAUCGAAUCUUUGAACGCACAUUGCGCCCCAUGGUAUUCCGUGGGGCAUGCCUGUUCGAGCGUCAUUUACCCCCUCAAGCUCCGCUUGGUGUUAGGCGUCUGUCCCGCUUCGCGCGCGGACUCGCCCCAAAGGUAUUGGCAGCGGUCGUGCCAGCUUCUCGCGCAGCACAUUGCGCUUCUCGAGGCACCGGUGGGCCCGCGUCCAUCAAGCUCACCCCCCCAGUUUGACCUCGGAUCAGGUAGGGAUACCCGCUGAACUUAAGCAUAUCAAUAAGCGGAGGA